rnacentral:rRNA from 1 species
UUGACCAUUUGACCUCAAA